GGGGGGGCUCUGCCGCAGACGCUAACACGAGAAGACGGUUAGACAGGUAAGACUUUCCUCUCUGCGGUGCUGCUCAGAAAUGCAUUUGGAGUCCUGAAAGUGGCGAUGAGACGCGGACCUGCGCUCGCCCUGAGGGCGGUGGAGACGGAGAGGAUUUUCUGAAGCUUUCCGGUCUUCAGGUUUCACCGCUGAGCCUCUGGGAGCAGAUCUCUGAAUGUUUCCUUCUUCCCUCAUGGAGAUCUGAAUCUCUGAUGAAACAGCUGCACUAAACGGCAGGAAAACAGAGUUUUUCCUAUUUUGUUGGCUUCCAUCUUUUCUCUGGAAGGCUGAGAUGGGAUGAAUAUGGACUUUAUGAACAACCGUCCAAUAACGUGUCAACCCAAAGCUCUUUGGAUGAACGGCCAGUUUGUCCCGAGCUGCUGAAACUUGGUUAUGUCAUUAUCUCCAUAUUCUUAUUUCUCUUGACACCAUCUGUGGCGGUUCCAAAA